CACCCGCAGGACUUUGUUCUGUCUCAGGAAGCUUAGUUACAGAAAGAUGAGGUAACUGGAGGGAUGGCAGGGGAAUGGAAAACAAUACAGAGAUACAGCAAAUAAAAGCUUCCAGAACACAGAAAAAUCUCAAGAAAACAACUCUCCCCAUCUUUGAUCAUUUAUCAAUUAUUCAGUCAGAGUCUAAAAUGUUCAAGGCUCCACACUUAAGAGAAUUCAAAGGCUCCAAAAGGAAGAACCUGGACCUCUUCGGGGUAAAGAUGUUAGCUACCACCUUAAAUAAGCCUGUAUCUUCAGCCCCAAAAUGAGCCAUCAGACAGGACCAUGUGCAUGGCAGGAUGCAGGCUUGUCAUCUCAGGUGAUCUCCCUGGCAUUGCACCUGGGCUGGGGCAGAGAGGAGCGUGGCCCAUGACAGCAUCACACGAUACAAAAAUCCAGAAAAAUGGCCUAUAAGGCCAGCUGUGUGAUGCAGCAGGAGAACAGGUUCACACCAGGAAAGACAUGGGCAGGUGUGAGCCUUUGAGGAUGGGAAGCCGCCCUUAUCAGUGUUUGCAGUUGGGGUGAGGUGUUUGUGCAAAACCAGGCUUCAAAACUGACAGUCAAUCAUCACGUGUCCCUCACCUGAAGUAUUUAUCAUUUCUAUGUAUUGGGUCAUUUCAAACCCUCCCUUCUAGGUAUUUUGAAAUAUACAAUACAUUGUCAUUAAAUAUAGUAAUCCUACUCUGCUAUUGAGCUUCAGAACUUAUUUCAUCUAAAAUAAAUCAUUCUACCAAAAA
rnacentral:lncRNA from 1 species